rnacentral:rRNA from 1 species
GGCGGACGGGUGAGUAAUGCUUGGGAACAUGCCUUGAGGUGGGGGACAACAGUUGGAAACGACUGCUAAUACCGCAUAAUGUCUACGGACCAAAGGGGGCUUCGGCUCUCGCCUUUAGAUUGGCCCAAGUGGGAUUAGCUAGUUGGUGAGGUAAUGGCUCACCAAGGCAACGAUCCCUAGCUGGUUUGAGAGGAUGAUCAGCCACACUGGAACUGAGACACGGUCCAGACUCCUACGGGAGGCAGCAGUGGGGAAUAUUGCACAAUGGGCGAAAGCCUGAUGCAGCCAUGCCGCGUGUGUGAAGAAGGCCUUCGGGUUGUAAAGCACUUUCAGUCAGGAGGAAAGGGUGUGAAUUAAUACCUCACAUCUGUGACGUUACUGACAGAAGAAGCACCGGCUAACUCCGUGCCAGCAGCCGCGGUAAUACGGAGGGUGCGAGCGUUAAUCGGAAUUACUGGGCGUAAAGCGUAC